CCCAGUCUGGAAAGUGAGGAGCGUCUCUGCCCGGCCGCCAUCCCAUCUAGGAAGUGAGGAGCAUCUCUGCCCGGCCGCCCAUCGUCUGAGAGGUGGGGAGCACCUCUGCCUGGCAACCGCCCCGUCUGGGAAGUGAGGAGCGUCUCCGCCCGGCAGCCACCCCGUCCGGGAGGGAGGUGGGGGGGUCAGCCCCCCGCCCGGCCAGCCGCCCCGUCCGGGAGGUGAGGGGCUCCUCUGCCCGGCCGCCCCUACUGGGAGGGAUCCUAUGCUUCUAUUCACCUGGAAUCACACUGAUGCACAGACAUCUGUGAAUAGAAAUUAAAGUUAUUUGCUGAGGUAUUCAUGUUAAAAAAAUGCAUCUGGAACUGUGUAGCUUAAAGCUGCAGACGUGUCAACAACUACGCAUGAAAUGGAAUGUUCCCACUGGGAUCCACUCUUGAUACAUGACCAUUAUCUGUUCUUAACACUUUGCAUCUUACUCUGACAAUGUGAUGCUAGGGUCAGGACUUGCUCAGUUGGACACUACAAUGGAUAAUAUUUAAGAGAAGAGGCGAUCUGUUUCACAUUAAGUUUUCAAUAGAAUUUGCACUUGGAAUAAAUGGUAUCAAGACGAACCCUGUGCCAUUGUUUACUCAAUUUUCCUAGGGCUGGGCCAUAGAAUUACAAAGCAAGCCCUGCACCAAGCCUGCCAGGUUGUAUAUGGUGACAUUGCAGGGGGAAUUCUCAAUGAGAAGCACACAGUGGUCUCACUUCCACCACUGAAUGCCUCUCCCUUGGGCAAUGCACCUAGUCUGCCUGGACUGAACAUCUCACUAUGUUUAUCUUGUUGAGGAAGAUAAAUGGGUGUCAACUGGAUUGAGGCAUUGUUAGACUAGGGACCCCUGAGAUGAGGACAGCAAGCAGAAAUUGUGCCUCACACUGAGAAGUGCAAAGCGGCAGCAGGGGUUUUUAGUUGAUUAUGACAGCCAUGAUGCUUUGUCCUCAUUGUAAUUAUCACAGUAAAGCGUUGCAGUUUCUUUAGUCUUUUGAGGAAGUGAGGGAGUUGAAACUUUCAAUAUUCAUAAUGUUGUAAAAUCUCAAGUUUCCUAUUCAUGUAUUUUAUGUCUAAAAUACACAAAACAUAAAAUACAUGAAUAGGAAAAUCCUACUGUUACUUAUUAGCUGUUUGGGGCAAACUUGAUGGUGCCGAACAAUGGAGGAGUCCAUUUCAAUCUUGGUUAGCAAGAUUUCCCACAGAAAGGGGAGCAGUAACCCUACAGAGAAAAAGCGAGCCUUGAGGAGAGUGGAUGGAACGUGCUUGGGAUAGAGAGACACAGCUGGGGGCAGCACCUUCAUUCACACAGCCAGCCAUGGUGCCAGCCAGCACAGUGUGGAAGUAAAGAAAUCUACAAGGAGACUCACAACCCAAUGAACAGACUUUACUCAAGAGAGAUGCCAGGGAGAGACUUUUAGCUCAUUAGAAAACCAAAUCUGCCAGGCGCGGUGGCUCGUGCCUGUAAUCCCAGCACUUUGGGAGGCCAAGGCGAGGGGAUCACCUGAAAUCAGGAGUUCGAGACCAGCCUGACCAACAUGGAGAAACCUCAUCUCUACUAAAACUACAAAAUUAGCUGGGCAUGGUGGCACAUGUCUGUAAUCCCAGCUACUCAGGAGGCUGAGGCAGGUGAAUCACACGAACCCAGGAGUCAGAGGUUGCAGUGAGCCAAGAUCGCCCCAUUGCACUCCAGCCUGGGCAACAAGAGUGAAACUCCAUCUCAUUCCUGAGCCAAUCAGAGUAAUAAUUCCAUGCCUUCUCAUUUUGGUGGAAAUCUAAAGUGGUUUGGAUUUGAUAUAAAAACAGAAGAUUUAACAUUCCUAUUCUUAACUCUUUCUACUUCCAAGUCCUUGAAAUUAUAGAAAAGAUGUAAUAAAAUGAUAAUAAUUAAUGGCUGGGCAUGAUGACUCACAUCUGUAACCCCAGGACUUUAGGAGGCUAAGGCAGGAGGAUCACUUGAGCCCAGGACUUUGAGACCAGCUUGGGCAAUACAGUGAGACCUUGUUUCUCCAAAAAGUUUUAAAAAUUAUCCUGGCAUGGUGGCGUAUGCCUGUAGUCCCAACCGCACAGGAGGCUUAGGUGGGAGGAUCCACUGAACUCAGGAGGUGGUGGAUGCAGUGAGCUGAGAUCACUCAGUGCACUCCAGCCUGGGCAACAGGGUGAGACACUGUCACAAAAAAGGAAAAAAAAAAAAGACAAGAAAGAAUGUAAUCAGCAAAAAAUUAGAAGAAUUUCUGAAAGAUAAAAAGCACACAGCAUUUGAUUUUAAAAGAAAUAUAGUGUAAGGAAAGAACAACUAAACAAAAUGGAUGUAUCUUGUGAUCCAAGGAUUCCUACUCUUAGAUAUACCUACAAGAAAAGCACAUAUGCUGAUGGCUCUAUUAUUAGAAACAGCAAAAAUAGAAACCAUUCAAAUGUCCAUUAACAGUGGAAUGGAAAAAUUAUUAUAAAUUUGCACAGUAGAAUACCGUACAAAUGUUACUGGGAGGGGUGCAGGGUCUGUGGCUCUUGCCUUCUUGGAAGAAAGAAUUCAGCCAAGAGAUGCACAGCAAGGGUUAAGCAGCAGAGUUUCUUGAGGGAAGAUAGAGGACAGUUCAAGAAGGGAGUGGGCUGGCCUGACUGGAAAGCAGCGGCAGCAGCGAGGUUUAUUUAAAGGGAGAGCACACACUGAAUGACAAGGCAGAGCAGGUUGCUGGAGAGAGGGAGUGAGCCAGCAGCAGCCAGUGCUGGGGACUCUCUUUAUGAGGAUCUUACAUGAUUAUUCAUGAAGGGAUGUGAGGGGCUGUCACUUGCAAUCAUGUAUUAGGUGGUUCCACAUGCUCUAUGGCUGUACAUGCUAGUACACACAUGAAAUGUCUCAUUAGCAUUUAAAACCUCCACCUAGGGGUGUGUUUUUUAUAAUUGUAAUGGGCAAAGUCUACUGCAGGGUGAGUUACUGGAGGAGUGAGCAUGCUUGCCAAUGGGAAAAGUCUCUACCAUGGUUGUCUCCAGCUAGAGCCUGAGGAGUCCCCCUUAGGGCUGGAGGAACCCAACCACAACAUAAAAGUAGCCAGUGUAAACUACUACCACACACAACAACGUGGCUGAAUCUCACAAAAGUAAGAUUGAGGGAAACCAGUCAGGAAAGAAAGGACAAUUAUGAUUCCAUUUAUACACAGUGCAAAAACUUGGCAGCACUAAUAUAUUCUAACCGGAAUGGUAUUGUCUUCAGGAAACUGGAAGUGUGGGAGGUAACUGUGAAGAGGAAAAAUAGGGUUUCUGGGUACUGGGAAAUAUUCUGUUUCUUGAUCUUGGUUGUACUUAAAGAUGUUUCACUUAGUGAUAUUUCACUGAGCUGUACACUCAGCGUAAUAUGAUUUGUGCGUGUCAUAUGUGUAUAUUAUACUUCAAUAAAAAUAGCAUUUAAAAAACACAACUCUGAACAGCACAACUGAUUGGAUAUAGAGAGUGAUUAGUAACCUGAAAGAUUUUGGUUGAGAGGAAAGAUUAUCCAGAAAGCAGUGCAAACAGAUGGAAAGGAUGAGAAAAAAGUGUAAAGCCAGUACGUAAAGAUGCAGUAAUUCUACAUAAAAAAAAGAUUUCUAGGAAACGUGGGAAAGUGAAUUUAAUCUAAUAUUGCUGAGGCAUGUUAAAGGGUGUGAUUAAUCGUAUGUGCUAAAUCACUCAUUGGAAGUACUAGUAAAGAAUUAGUUGGAAAAUAAUUGCAAAGUAAGCUCAAUGGAAUUAUUGGUGCAAACUGAAUAUCUUCUGACUGUUUACUAAAAGAAGGGUGAUGUAUAACAACCGUAGGUUUUAUUCAUAUAAAUGAGCUGAAAAUUCACAGUAGCUUUGUAACUACUUGCUGGAUAACUGCAUACAUUCAGGGAUUUUUUUCCCCAAUAAUAAAAACUUUUACUCAUAAUCACCAAAACUUAGAUGGAACCAAGAUGUCCUUCAGUAGAUUAAUGGAUAAAUAUACUGUGGUACAUCCAGACAAUGGAAUAUUGUUCAUCAGUAAAAAGGAAGGAGCUAUCGAGCUAUGGAGGAAACUUACAUGCUACUACAUGAAAGAAGCCAAUCUGAAAAGGCUACAUGUUGUAGAAUUCCAACUCUGUGACACUCUGGAAAAUGCAAAACUAUGGAGACUGUGAAAAUAUCAGUGGUUUCUAGAAAUUGGGUGAAGGCGGGGAUGAAUAGGCCGAGUGCAGAGGAUUUUUAGGGCAGUGAAACUAUUCCAUAUGAUGCUAUGAUGGUGGAAACGUGUCAUCGUACAUGUGUCAAAACACAUAGAAUACACAGUAACAAGAAUGAGCACUAAUAUAAACUAUGGACUUUAGGUGAUUAAUGAGGUGGCAAUGCAGGCUCAUCAAUUGUAAGAAAAUGCACCACUCUAGUGGGUGAUGUUGAUAAUGGGGGUGGGAGUGUUACACACAGGUGGGGCUAAGAGUAUAUGGGACAUCUCUGUACCUUCUGCUCAAUUUUGCUGUGAACCUAAAACUGCUCUAAGAAAUAAAGCCUACUGAUAUGGUUUGAAUCUCUGUCCCCACCCAAAACUCACAUUGAAUUGUAAUCCCCAGUGUGGGAGGUAGGGCCUGGUGGAAGGUGAUCGGAUCAUGGGGACGGCGUUCUCAUGAAUGGUUUAGUACAUCCCCUUGGUACUGUACAGUGAGUGAGUUCUCAUGAGAUCUGGUUAUUUAAAAGUGUUUAGCACCCUCCUCCCUUCCUCCUGCUCUGCCAUGUAGAUGUGCCUGCUUCCUCUUCACCUUCUGCCAUGACUAGAAGCUUCUUGAGUCCUCCCCAGAUGCCACUGUGCUUCCUGUACAGCCUGCAGAACCGUGAGCCAAUUAAAUCUCUUCUUUACAGACUGGGCGUGGUGGCUCACACCUGUAAUCCCAGCACUUUGGGAGGCUGAGGCAGGCGAAUCACUUGAGGCCAGGAGUUCAAGACCAGCCUGGACAUCAUGGCAAAACCCCGUCUCUACUAAAAACACUAAAAUUAACCAGGUGUAGUGGCGCACGCCUUUAGCUAUUUGAGUGGCUGAGGCAUGAGAAUCUCUUGAACCUGGGAAGUGAAGGCUGCAGUGAGCUAUGAUGCUGAGAUCACACCACUGAACUCCAGCCUGGGCAACACAGCUAGACUGUUUCAAAAAAAAGAAAAAAAAUCUUCUUUAUAAAUUACCCAGUUUCAGGUAUUUCUUUAUAGCAAUGUGAGCAUGGACUAAUAGUCUACUAAAAAGAAAAAAGGUUAUUCUACACAAAGUGGUAUGUUCCUCUGGGUAGAGAUUUCCCUUUUUUUCCUCCCAAAAAUUUGGUUAUAAGGAUGGGAUCCCUCAACUAAGCCCUCCACUGGGCACAUUUCUUGGAGUAUUUGUAGCCAUCUUUAAUCAAAUAAGGGACUAUUUGCUAAAAAGUGUUUCUUCAACUACUUUGGUUCAGUGGAAUUGGGUUCCCAGGGAAAAUCCCAAACUCUCACUAGAAGUUUUGAGUUACCAUUGAGUAAAAUUGGUAAUGUGGCUGAAAGGCCCUGUGUGGUUUGCUGUUGGCUUUAAUGGUAAAAUGUUCUGAAAACUCUGGAAUGCUGUCAGCGGGUCCCUCUCCUGGAAGGCGUGCUUCACUCUGCCAUGCCGGGCUCCAGGAGGAUAACUGCUUGCUGCUCCAGCAACUCAGGCUGCUUGCUGUGCCUGGAAUGCUCAGCAUGAGGGGCCACCGAGGGCAGUUCCUGAAGCCUCUCCACUGAAGGUGGACUGGGAGAAGCCACAGUGCCACGCUUCUUAGCCACAUGAGGCCCGUGAGUUUUCACCAGCUGUUCACCUUUCCUAAGUCCAAGGCAUGUCUCAGGGGGUCCGGGCUCCUGAUCCUCUCCACUUCUGUGGCAGCUUUGUUGCAGAGAAUUCAAGAGAGCAAAUAAGGGAAAAUGUAGUUGGGUGGCAAGAAUAAUUUCUCACGUUUUGAGGGAAGUAGCCCAAGUUUGGGAAAAUAUGGAGAAAGAUAAAGAAGACAAAAAAAUAGCCCUUAAGAUUUCCCAGUUAGAAUUAUUCACAAAGGGAAUAAACCCUUAUCUGGGGCCACCACCAGACAAGAAGGAACCCCGUAAUGGAAAGUCAAUAUGUUACUGUUGUAAGAAAUCAGGACAGUGGAGGAAAAAUGAAUGCUAAACGAGGGUCAAGAAGAGUUGAGAGAUACAAGCUAACUCUAAAGCUUUACCGUCAUCUCCAAGAGAUUUUUGCCUAAGGAAAUUGGACAAAAAGUAAUUGGAAAAUUGUGGAAAGUAACCUCAGAGCUGAGGGUGGGAGGCAUUUAUGUGUCUCUUUCUUUUCCCACUUUAAGCUUGUCCUGAUCUUUCUUGUGAACACUGAAGGCACACACUCCACAAUUUCUACAGACGGUUAUCAUUUUACGUCAACCUAGGAAAACAUCCAACUUUUGGGUACCUCUAGACAACCUUCUCCCUGUUCUUUCUUCUCUGAGGUUUCUCAACAAGUAGAUUCUCCAUACUGUAGAUGGAGUGUUUUCAGAGCUCCCAGGAGGCAAGGAGUUGGUAAAUAAGCACUUUCUAAAAUAAAAGAACUAUCAUUAUCUAUUUGUUCAUCAAAUAGAUACUUAGGUUUUUCCCAUAUCUUGACUAUUGUGAAUAAUGCUGCAAUGAACUGAGACUGCCGACAUUUUCACAAGGUCACUUUCUCUGACUAUAUGCCCAGAGGAGAGAUUGCUAGGCCAUAAUGUAGUUCUUUUUAAAAUUUCCUUAGGAGCCUCCAUACUGUUUUGCAUAAUGGCUGUGGCAAUCUACAUUUCCACUAACAGAGUACAAGCAUCCCCUUUUCUACAUACCCUCACCAACACUUAUUAUCUCCUGACUUUUUGAUAGUAGCCAUGCUUACAGAUGUGAGACAUUUCACAGUGGCUUUAAUUCACAUUUUCCUGGUGACUGAUAACAUUGAGCACAUUUUCAUAUACCUGUUGGCCACUUUUAACGUCUUCUUUGGAGAAGUGGCUAUGUAGGUCCCUUGUCCAUUUUUUUAAUUCGGUUGUUUGUUUUUUUAAUAUGGAAUUGUAUGAGUUCUUUAUAAAUAUUGGAUUUUGUUUCCAAAUCUGUAGGUUGCCAUUUUAUUUUGUUGAUUGUGUUUUUUGCUGUUCAGCCUUUAAAAAGAAGGAGAUCUUGCCAUUUGCCACAACAUGCAUGAACCUGGAGGACACUAUGCAAAGUGAAACAAGCCAGACAAAGAAUGAAAAAUAUUCCAUGAUCUCACUUACAUAUUGAAUCUUUUAAAAAAACAGAUUUCUGUAAUGCACUGUAGACUGCAUUACAGACCUAACAAGAUGAAACAUAUAAAGGAAGUAAAAAGGGCUAAUAAAGUUUGAACUGCGGAAGUCGAAGCCCCGUUACUGCUGCAGAGGAACUCCUAUUCGCUGUUUCAGCAACAAACAACCCUCCAAGACUUAGAAAAUAAGAAAGAAAGAAAAUGGGGUGUCCUCAAUAGGAUUAUUCCUGUCCCCCAGUUGUACGAUUGAGUGGAUUUUUCAUGCCAUCAGCAAGCUCAUUUGAACAAAAGAAUACUCUGAAAACCUUGGAAUUCUACUACAUUUGCUAUAGGGUCAAAUAGUUCAGGAAAUGACACAAAGGUGUGCUGUUUGUCAGCAAAGUUAUUUGUGGGAAACACCCAAGUUAAGUCGAAGAAGCCCGCUGAGGCCAACAUGAUCUGAGAACUGGACAAACAUGGACUUUACAGAAGUUGUGCCCUCGGAAGUUAAGAAUUAUUGUUUAGCAGGGAUGUGUAUGAUGCCUGGAUGGCCGGAGGGCGUUCACGUGCUAAAGCAAAUGCUCAAACAAUGAUCAUAUCAUUACUGAAUUUUAUCAUUCUAACCUUUGGGAUUCCAGAACAUGUAAAAUCCAGUAGAUAAGCCAUUUGGUUUCUACGGGGCUAAUUUAGGGGCUCUUUAAAACACUACAGAGGUCUUUAAAUUAUUAUACUCUUUAUUAUCACCAAGCUCCUGGGCUGGUAGAAUGACUAAACCACAGUGUAUUAGUCCAUUCUCACAUUGCAAUAAAGAACUACCUGAGACUGGGCAAUUUAUAAAGAAAAUAGGUUUAAUUGGCUCAUGGUUCUUCAGGCUGUACAGGAAGCAUGCUGAGGGGGAGGCCUCAGGAAGCUCACAAUCAUGUCAGAAGGCGAAGGGCAAGCUGGAACAUCUUACUUGGCUGGAGAAGGAGGAAGAAAGGGAAGCAUGAGGUGCUACACACGCUGGAGAAGGAGGAAGAAAGGGAAGCAUGAGGUGCUACACACUUUUAAACAACCAGAUCUCGUGAGCACUCACACACUACCAUGACAACAGCCAGGGGGAAAUUCACCUUCAUGAUCCAAUUGCCUCCCACCAGGCCCCUCGUCCAACACUGGGAAUUACAAUUUGACAUGAGAUUUGGACGGGGACACAAAUCCAAACCAUAUCACACACCCUAAAGAAUUAUUUGGUUAACUUACACCAAACCAAUGGCUUAUUCGAGUGUUGUUACUGGUCCUGUUAAAAAUAAGAUCAACUCCUAGCAAGCAUGCUAUUUCGCCUUUGGAGUUAACAUCUAGUGACCUAUGAAUUCAGGAUUUAAGUUCACUGCUUACCUAUAAAGGAAAACACCAUAGAUGUACUACUUAACUGGGUUGCCAUCUUUCUAGGCUUAUUCUGCCAUCACGUGGCAGAUGCUGGAAAAGUCCCCAAGGAGACGUGCUAUCAAUUUUGACCAGAAAAAAGCUACAUAGAGUUCCAGUGACAAGACUGGAUGAUCAUUGUGCUAAGAAAGACCCCGCCAGGGGUGGAUCAGGAGGUCAGGAGAUCGAGACCAUCCUGGCUAACACGGUGAAACCCCGUCUCUGCUAAAAAUACAAAAAAAAUUAGCCGGGCCUGGUGGUGGGCACCUGUAAUCCCAGCUACUCAGGAGGCUGAGGCAGGAGAAUGGCGUGAACCUGGGAGGCGGAGCUUGCAGUGAGCCGAGAUAGCGCCACUGCAGUCCAGCCUGGAUGACAGAGUGAUACUCCGUCUCAAAACCAAAAAAAGAAAGACCCCGCCAGGUGUUGCUGAUAACUCGCCCACCAUCACAGUGAAGGAGAAGCUCGGCUUCACGAGAGCUUCGCCUGUGACCGCACCUGUGACUGAAAUGGCCGUGACUCCUGAGUAUUCUAGCUGCCUCCGCCUUUGAGACAGAGCAGGAAGAACCUGUGGAUGGUGGGAUUCCCUCUUCUUGGAGAAGGGGAUGAGCAUUUCCCGCUGCCCUCCUGACACGCCCGUGGCUGUCUGCCUUGCUCUGUACCUCCAGACUUCAUGGAAAGCAUGCUCGACCUUUGACUUCUGGAAAUCCUUGAAUGAAGCACAAAAGGGAUUGGUCCUUGCCUGGUGUGAAGCACAGCUGAGCCAAAGGAGGAAGCAAUAUUGCAAUGGACUCUGUCUUUGACAUCACUACUUUGCAAAUUUGUUACCACUAUGGUCAAAUUUUUAUAUUCACUCUUACAUUUUAACUCAUUCUGCUCAUUAUAUUCAAUGCAACAUCUGCACUAAAAGAUACUCAGGCAUUAAUUUAUGCUUUUCUGUUUACAAAUGAGAAUUCAUAAGCAAAUUGAGGUAGCAAUUAGAUAUUUUUUAAAAUCGAAGACAAAACAGAAGACACAUACACACACAUCAGUGGAACACAACAGAGAGCCCAGAAACAGACUGAAAUACAGCCGACUAAUCUCUGACAAAGGAGCAAAAGCAAUUCAAUGGAGAAAGGAGAGUCUUUUUAACAAAUGGUGCCGGAACAAGUGGGCAUCCAUAUGCAAAAAAGAAAAAAAAAAAGAAUCUAAAAACAGACCUUAUACUUCUUACAAAAAUUAAUGCAAAGUAGAUAUUAGACCAAUAUAUAAAAUGUAAAAUUUUCAAACUUCUAGAAGAUAACAUAAGGAAAAAAUCUAGUUAACUUUGGAUUUGGUGACUUUUUAAAGAUACAACACCAAAAGCAUGAUCCACGAAGACAAAAAUUGGUAAGCUGAAUUUCAUUAACAUGAAAAACUUUUGUUUUGCAAAAGAUACCAUUAAGAGAAUAAAAAGACAAAUCCCAAACUGUGAGAAAAUAUUUGCAAAAUAUAUCUAAGGAUUCGUAUCUGAAAUAUGCAAAGAACUGUUAAAACUCAACAAGAGGAAAACAAACAACCCAAUUAAAAAUGGGCAAAAGCUGAACAGAUAUGCAGAUGGAAACUAACUAUAUGAAAAGAUGCUCUGUAUGUUAUUAGGAACUGCCAAUUAAGACAACAAUAAGACACCACUACACACCUAUUAGAAUGGCCAAAAUCCACAAGUCUGAAAACACCAAAUGCUGGUGAGGAUGUGAAGCAACAAGAACUCUCAUUCAUUGCUGUGGGAAUGCAAAAUGGCACAGCCACUUUGGAAGACAGUUUGGCAGUUUUUUACAAAGCUCACAUAGUCUUAUUAUAAGAUUUAGCAAUUGUGCUCUUCAUUAUUUACCCAGUGGAGUUGAAGAGUUAUGUCCACACACAAACUUGCACACAAAUGUUUAUAAAAGCUUUAUUCAGGAUUACCAGAAACUGGAGGUGAUCAACAUGUCCUUCAGUAGGUGAAUGGAGAAAUAAAUUCUGAUAUCUACAGACAAUGGAAUAUCAUUCAGUGAGAAAAGACCUAUCAAGUCAUGAAAAGGCAUACCGGGACCCAAAAUGCACAUUACUAACGAAAAAAGCCAAAAAGGCUACAUACUGUAUGAUUCCAAUUAUGUGACAUUUUGGAAAAGGGAAAAUUACACAGAUAGUAAAAUGAUCGGUGGUUGGUAGGGGUUGAGGAGAGGGAAGGAUAGAUGGUCAGAGAGUUCCGGAUGUUUAGGGCAGUGAGACCAUUGUGUGCGAUUUCACCACAACGGUGGACCCACGACAGUGUGCAGAUGCCAAACCCAUUGAAUGCAGACCACAAAAAGAUAAUAAUUACAUAAACUAUGAACUUUCAUAAUGAAAUAAAUCAUGUUUUAAAAAAGUAGACAGCUUUGUUCAGUUACUGUCUACUUUUUGAAAUGGAGAGGGUGGGAUGCUUACAUGGUUGUGAGGAUAAAAAUAGCUUAGAGAAUGUAAUAACUAAAACAGGUGUGUAAACAUUGUUAAACUCUUUUAUCCUCAUUAAAAAACAUUGCUUAAAUAUAUUUGUAAUUUUUUACAACUGAGCGAGUAGUGCAAACACAUUAACAUAAUUCUCCUCUAGCUCCGCUCAGAAGUCAGGCUUCAGUGCAGGACCACAUGGCUCCAAGUGCACCUGCCAAAUGCAACAACCUCUUUCAACGUCAUUAAAAUAUUUCAAUAGGAGGCUUGAUUUUAGACUCAACCUGUGUUUUCUCCCCUGGAAAAUGAAGGUUUUAUGAAACAAAGAAGGUCUUUACCAUUCUCAUCCAAAAUGCUGAGACAUCUGUGAUGUCUGCUGUAAGUGCCACCAGGCUCUCCUCUGAAAUCUCACAACGGGAAAAUAGAGACUGUCAAUUCUGCUUUUAGAAAGGGGAGAAUCAGAUCUAAUGUCGAAAUGCCAUGUCCUCAUUCAUACACAUCUUCUUUUACAAAUUCCACAGGUUUAGUUACUUUGGGAUUAAUAUGGGCCUAUUUUAAAGUGCAUUUAUUAAUUUAGCAUGAAAUGUCCAAAUGCAUUCUGGAUCCUGAGCUGACAUCCAGCAAUGCUGAGUGUGCGCCUGUGUGAGUCACCAGCCCUGAUGAGCCUCAGGUUAUUGUAUUCAUAAAAUGAAGGGGCUUAGGCUUGCUCCGAUUUUUUUAAAACCAUUUUUAACAGUAAAAACUUGUUUCUUGUUACAUAAAAAUGUACAAGAAAAACCCAAACAUUACAAAUGAUAAAUUAUAAUUUUAUUAAUAUAAAUAUUUUGUGAGCUCAAUUUAUAGGACUUAGUUAUUAUAAAAGAAAUAAGCAACAUGAGGUGGCCAUACUUUCCUAUUUUGUUCACAUGCUAUUGAUAAAUCUUGAUGUACACAGAAAAUUAGUUUCAAAGAAUAAUAAUUUUAAAAAUCUUGACUUGUAAUUUCAAGGGACUUUAAAAAAAUUCCUGCAAUUUCUCUUUAAAGGUUCUAGAACAGUUUUCUAUGUCUUAAAGCUAAAUAAUCACAAAGAACUAACUGUUCUCACAUUCUGUAUUAUAAAUAUGUAAGUCAGAAAAGGAACAGACAAAAGAAUAAAAACACAUGCGUGAACAAAUGGGCCUUGGUUUACAUUGAAUUGGAUCUGGCAAUGAACAUGGGUUAUAGUAGUAUUUUUGUGUGUAAUUUUACACGAGUGGACUGUUGACAAAAUAAAAAUUGUCUGCAAUCACUAUUUGGUGGUAUAUUUGCACAAAUGGUAAACAUAUACAUAGAGGUCGUGGGAGAAAUUUAUUUCAUGGCUUACCAGAAGACAGGUUAAGUUGGGA
rnacentral:lncRNA from 10 species